rnacentral:rRNA from 1 species
AGCAGCUUGCUCCACCGCGACAAAGAGGAGUGGCGAACGGGUGAGUAACACGUGGGUAACCUGCCCAUCAGAAGGGGAUAACACUUGGAAACAGGUGCUAAUACCGUAUAACAAUCAAAACCGCAUGGUUUUGAUUUGAAAGGCGCUUUCGGGUGUCGCUGAUGGAUGGACCCGCGGUGCAUUAGCUAGUUGGUGAGGUAACGGCUCACCAAGGCCACGAUGCAUAGCCGACCUGAGAGGGUGAUCGGCCACAUUGGGACUGAGACACGGCCCAAACUCCUACGGGAGGCAGCAGUAGGGAAUCUUCGGCAAUGGACGAAAGUCUGACCGAGCAACGCCGCGUGAGUGAAGAAGGUUUUCGGAUCGUAAAACUCUGUUGUUAGAGAAGAACAAGGAUGAGAGUAACUGUUCAUCCCUUGACGGUAUCUAACCAGAAAGCCACGGCUAACUACGUGCCAGCAGCCGCGGUAAUACGUAGGUGGCAAGCGUUGUCCGGAUUUAUUGGGCGUAAAGCGAGCGCAGGCGGUUUCUUAAGUCUGAUGUGAAAGCCCCCGGCUCUACCGGGGAGGGUCAUUGGAAACUGGGAGACUUGAGUGCAGAAGAGGAGAGUGGAAUUCCAUGUGUAGCGGUGAAAUGCGUAGAUAUAUGGAGGAACACCAGUGGCGAAGGCGGCUCUCUGGUCUGUAACUGACGCUGAGGCUCGAAAGCGUGGGGGAGCAAACAGGAUUAUAUACCCCUGGUAGUCCACGCCGCUAACCGAUGAGU